rnacentral:rRNA from 1 species
CCUUUUGGUUCGGAAAACAUGGGGAAACCUGUGCUAAUACCGGAUAAGUCCUAACGGAGAAAGUUUUAAUGCCAAAAGAUGAGCCCGCAUUUGAUUAGCUUGUUGGUGAGGUAAAAGCUCACCAAGGCUACAAUCAAUAGCUGAUUUGAG